rnacentral:tRNA from 1 species
GCUGCGAUGGCCGAGUGGUUAAGGCGUUGGACUCGAAUUCCAAUGGGAUAUUCCCGCGCAGGUUCGAAUCCUGUUCGCAGCG